UGAUGAGAAGAUAUCUAUGGUCUACCAGAUCUUCCAAGAUGUCUUCAGGGAAGAUGCUAAUUAUCUUUGCAAGAAGAAAUUUAUAAGUCGCAUCCAGUAGCGGGACCUGGCGACCGCACAGGCUAUGAGCGCGGGCUUGAAGUUAACCACCCAAAUUUCUGUAGCAGGCAGCUAAGCUUUAGAUAGGUCAUCUUAGUGCCAUUCUUUGACUCCAUGCACUGUAAAACUUCAUUCUGCCUUCGCUCUGCCGCCGACGUGAUAUUUUGGGCAACUCGGCGUAGCCUAGAAGUGAUGAGCCGCAUCGUCCACAAGCCCGUGGCUCUAAAUUUUGAAUGCACUUCUUCUUUUACCACUUGGUGGAAGGCCAAGUGGUUGAAGAAUUAUGAAAGGGACAUCAGGGGGGCCUAUGAUCGUCUCUUUGGGAAACUUUUCUUCAAAUCCUACCCGAAAAAGGAUGAGAUUGAGAACUGGAAAGAGGCGAUCAGCCCAAGGCAACAUUGAAGAAGUGGAUGUCAAGCCAGAAGAAGCUCUAGACGUACUUGUCCUUCAAGAGGCCGCCGCAUAGGCUGCAAGGCAAAAGGCAGGGUCCAGCCAAGCUGUUGAAGAUAUUGGGGACAUCUCCGAUCUUUUUGGGAAUUCAGAGGCUGAGGCUGCACUAGAAGUGGAGACUCAGGUAAGUCAACGGGCAAAGGCAACUAUGGUAGAGUCUUGGGAGUCCGAGCCCGAGGAGCAGCCUCAGCCUCGACUUGCUAUGCUUGGCCCGAUGGCAACUUCUACCAGGAAGUAGACCAGGUCCCAGACUUCUAAGGCCUCCAAGUCCUCGUCUGCCCACCCAGAUGAAGCAGGUAGAAAAAAGCAGAAAGUUGUCAGGCCUCCACCAACCAAGAAACCUGCCCCCAUUCCCAAAGAGGGGCAGUCAGGCGGAGAAGUUUAGCCUAAGGAUAAGGCAGUCCUCGACACAAUCCUUGAGGAGUUGAAGGAUACCAUAGGCGAAAGGACCAUCAAACCUGAGCCUUCCUCUUCUCCAGCCCAAGCGGUGCAUCAUUCCCCUCGUCGAGUCGAGCUUUCAAAGGUGUACUUCUUCCUCAUUCUUGGUUAAGUUGUGACUUUCCAAAUUUUGAAUUUUAACAAACAUCCUUAUUCUUUUAUAGGCAAAGGUUGAGGCACUUGCACCUUCCGUCGAGCAAAGCUCCACUUUUACCUCUUCUACUCUUCUUACUCCCAUAAUGGUGACUCCCACUUCCCAGUUCAACUUAAGGAUUGGGGAGAUGCUGCACUACGUUGACGAUGAUAGUACUUUAGUAAGCAU